CCUUUGACAUGGAGUUUCUUUGCUUUUUUAGGGGAAUUUGAAAAAGACUCUGCUGAGUGCUUGAAGCAUCUGGAGCUUCUGGAGGGAGAGGAAGGUCAGAAUUUGAACAAAGGGGACUCAGAGAAGGAAGCCGAGUAUCCUGACCCGCUUCUUCUCGGAGGCCUGAUUCCAGAGAAGGGUUUUGCUUCAUUUGACUUGUGUUUCUUGCAAGAGUUCAUCUUUAAACUUCUGCAAAUCAAAGAAUCUGAGCUCAGAGAGCUGAGGAAGACUCUAGAAAGAGCGCAAGCAGAGCAGGAGGCCCUGCAGAGGCAGCUGCUGGAGUUCCAGAACCGACAGCAGUGGCUGGAGGUGGAGCUGGCCAGCCUGAAGACCUAUGGGGUCAUCCUGGAGAAGGAGUUUGAGAACCUGAACACAGUCAUCAUGCUGCCCCACUUUGGCCUGCGAGUAAUGGACAUGGCAUAAAGCAGUGCACACCUUUCACCAGUGGGGACCCCAGGAUGCAUCCCGGGCACAUUAGAGGUCAGCUUCCAAAGGGCCAUCUCCCUCGGUGGAAGAAGAGUGGGGAUCCUGGGCCCCUGAGGAUGGGGUAGCAAGGAUGAGUCGGAGAGCUGUCUACUCUACUGAUCCAGGAGAAAAUAAAUCAUGUGUGUGUGUGUCUUUG
rnacentral:lncRNA from 1 species